rnacentral:lncRNA from 1 species
ACAAUUCACAAUUCAAUCCAGAAAUUCGUCCAACCGUCUCCUCACUCUUGCCGCACCCACCAAACACCAUUCCCCCUAGUUCUAAAGUCUUGCCGCCGCACCAUCCCCACCCCCUAAACACUACUACAUCCAUCCAUAACCAUGCAUCCAUACACCUAAAGUCCCAACCUGUCCCUAAAGUCCUUUGCUGCACCAAGGAGGAGGAGAAGGAAGCUCGGAAGUUCAUGCAAUUCAAGUUCGCGUCGCUGGAAUUUCUAGGUGUUUCUUUUCCUUUGAUUUCAAUGUUUAAAUUCAAUUCUCUUUGUUUUGUGCGUAUGAGGAACUAAACCCCCCUUGGCUAGGGGGGAUUCGAAAUACAUGUUUAUGCUUGUGUUAUGAUUUGAUUACUUCUAAUUGCGUUUCAUAAGUUGUGAAUUCAAUUUACUUAUUUAUGAGAAUUACAUUGAUUUGUGUGUGUUGGUCGAGAGUGCACGCUUAAUUAUCAUGCAUAAAUUGAAUGCUAGGAUAUAAGGAAAUUUCACCUAAUCGUUAUGGAAUUAUAUUCACAAGUAGUAAAGGUUGAUAAUCUCAAUCGCGUUAAGUAAAUUCUUGGCAUAAGUUUCAUGCAAUCAUAGUAACAAGUGCUUCGUCAAU